GUGAAGAACGUAGCGAAAUGCGAUAAGUAAUGUGAAUUGCAGAAUUCAGUGAAUCAUCGAAUCUUUGAACGCACAUUGCGCCCGCCAGCAUUCUGGCGGGCAUGCCUGUUCGAGCGUCAUUUCAACCCUCGAGCCCCCCCGGGGGCCUCGGUGUUGGGGGACGGCACACCAGCCGCCCCCGAAAUGCAGUGGCGACCCCGCCGCAGCCUCCCCUGCGUAGUAGCACACACCUCGCACCGGAGCGCGGAGGCGGUCACGCCGUAAAACGCCCAACUUUCUUAGAGUUGACCUCGGAUCAGGUAGGAAUACCCGCUGAACUUAAGCAUAUCAAUAAGCGGAGGA
rnacentral:misc_RNA from 1 species